rnacentral:ncRNA from 1 species
CUUUGAUAUCAGCUCUUCCUAUCAUUGUGAAGCAGAAUUCAUCAAGGGUUGGAUUGUUCACCCACUACUAGGGAACAUGAGCUGGGUUUAGACCGUCGUGAGACAGGUU